CUGACAAGGCGAACGGAACUCCUGAACUCCCUGUAGCAGAGGCCCAGAAAGGAGACUCUUCCUCCAAACCAGGAACAGUGGCUGUGCGGAUUCCCCUUGGGAGACAGGAAGACUGCAGAUCCUCCCUCCCUGGGGUGGCUCCAGUGACCCUCAGUGUGCCCGCCAGGCACAGAGCACGCACUCACCCUCACUGUGACCAUGGACAGAGAGCGAAUCCCAGGGGCAGUGAGGUGUGACAUCCACAUGAAAUCCCCGAGAAGCCCCCAAAUUGUUUAAGCCUCGAGUCUCACAAAGCCUGUAUCGACCCCUGGUGGAAGGGCGGCCAGACCCUCGGAAGAGGGUCAACAGCUAUGAAGGAAACCAGAUGUCACCUGUCUCCUCCAGUGCCCAGUGUUCCCAGUCAUUGCCCCGACUCUCCUGGGUGUGCUCACACUGGCCUGCUCCCACCCCCAGAACCGAUGAACAAAUACUUGAUGUGAAUGAAUUAAACUGACUCACAAUACAGAAUCACAAGCUGGGAAGAGGGCUCUUGAAAGUACCAAAUAAGUAGCCCCCUCCACAUCCACAGGGGAUAGCCCCCAUCUACCCCAGAAAUCUACUCAAGAUUUCAGAAACCAACAUUCUAUAACUUUCCAUGCUGAUGGAUUUGGUCAGUGGAAGACUACUAAAUUCUGAUCCUGUUCCCUCAGUAAAAAUGUCACCAAGA
rnacentral:lncRNA from 10 species